rnacentral:pre_miRNA from 14 species
ACUCAGGAAUCAGGUGACUUCACCAAAAUCUUCUCCCCAUUGUGAAAGAUCCCACGCAGAGUGACCCUUACUCAAGCCUUGGGAAAUCGCGGACCCCAGACACAGAGAGACCA